UACGUAGGGGGCAAGCGUUGUCCGGAUUUAUUGGGCGUAAAGAGCGUGUAGGCGGUUAGGUAGGUCCGUUGUGAAAACUCGAGGCUCAACCUCGAGACGCCGAUGGAAACCAUCUAACUAGAGUCCGGAAGAGGAGAGUGGAAUUCCUGGUGUAGCGGUGAAAUGCGCAGAUAUCAGGAAGAACACCAAUGGCGAAGGCAGCUCGCUGGGACGUGACUGACGCUGAGACGCGAAAGCGUGGGGAGCAAACAGG
rnacentral:rRNA from 1 species